rnacentral:misc_RNA from 1 species
GAUGAAGAACGUAGCGAAAUGCGAUAAGUAAUGUGAAUUGCAGAAUUCAGUGAAUCAUCGAAUCUUUGAACGCACAUUGCGCCCGCCAGUAUUCUGGCGGGCAUGCCUGUCUGAGCGUCAUUUCAACCCUCAUGCCCCUAGGGCGUGGUGUUGGGGAUCGGCCAAAGCCCGCGAGGGACGGCCGGCCCCUAAAUCUAGUGGCGGACCCGUCGUGGCCUCCUCUGCGAAGUAGUGAUAUUCCGCAUCGGAGAGCGAUGAGCCCCUGCCGUUAACCCCCAACUUUCCAAGGUUGACCUCAGAUCAGGUAGGAAUACCCGCUGAACUUAAGCAUAUCAAUAAGCGGAGGA